GACGAACGCUGGCGGCGUGCCUAAUACAUGCAAGUAGAACGCUGAAGAGAGGAGCUUGCUCUUCUUGGAUGAGUUGCGAACGGGUGAGUAACGCGUAGGUAACCUGCCUUGUAGCGGGGGAUAGCUAUUGGAAACGAUAGCUAAUACCGCAUAACAAUGGAUGACACAUGUCAUUUAUUUGAAAGGGGCAAUUGCUCCACUACAAGAUGGACCUGCGUUGUAUUAGCUAGUAGGUGAGGUAAUGGCUCACCUAGGCGACGAUACAUAGCCGACCUGAGAGGGUGAUCGGCCACACUGGGACUGAGACACGGCCCAGACUCCUACGGGAGGCAGCAGUAGGGAAUCUUCGGCAAUGGGGGCAACCCUGACCGAGCAACGCCGCGUGAGUGAAGAAGGUUUUCGGAUUGUAAAGCUCUGUUGUAAGUCAAGAACGGGUGUGAGAGUGGAAAGUUCACACUGUGACGGUAGCUUACCAGAAAGGGACGGCUAACUACGUG
rnacentral:rRNA from 1 species